UUUUUCAGAAUUUUCGGAAUUUUCCGAAUUAAAAUUCUUUCAAAUAAGCCCUGGUUUAAACAAUAGAAUAGAGAGGCAUAUGGUUUAAGUAAACUGAUGAACUUUUCCUUGAGUGUGAAUCCAGCCCUAAUGUUAGACUUUGGAUCAUAAAAAUUGCCAGCUGAUUUUCCUGUUAGAAAGUACCUGAACGGAAUACUAAAUGAUCCAACAAACGCACAAAAAAAAACAUAAAACCGGGACGCUGAUUAACAAAUCGAAAGUCUAGUUGAAUGAACUAUCACUUGAAUCGAUCAAAAGCUCUUCCUUUUUCGCUUAAGAUGACUGAGGAUUUCUUCUUGCGAUUUAUUUUUUACCCCGAAACGAAAUGUAUUUCCAACAAAAUGUCCAUAAGUACGUUCAAUGUGUAGUUAAUUUUAUGUAAUGAGGCUGGUCAGCCGGUUAGAUUAAUUUUAUUUGAGGUUGUCACUGUUAAAUGUUAUUGUUGACGGGUUUUUUUAUUAAUUAAUUAAUUUUUUUUAUUUGUACACUAAUUAUAGCCGUGAAUUUAACAGAAGAAGAAAAUUAUUAUCCCCCUUCCCCCCAAGAAAAAACUCUAAAUAUUUAAAUGUUAAAAACGUGUGGUGUUUUUUCAGAGAAGCUUAUUAUAUUGCGCUUGUUAGGAUCCAGUGAGUGAUUGGGAAAAAUUAAUGGGAAUGCAGAUGAGGAUGAGAAUGAAUAUUUUCAACGAAAAUGUAAGACUUACCUAGGGUGUAAUCAGAUUCUGCGUAGGCUGCUAAUUUUCUUAGGGGCAACUGUAGCCAGAUAACAGUGUAUUUGGAGUGCAAAAGGAUUUUCUAGGAGAAAAUCCUCAAAAGAUUUUCAAGGAUGUUCAUUUGAAUUACAAGGAUUUUCCUUCGUAUUUUAAAGAUUUUCUUAAAAUUUUAAAGAAUUUUUGACGAUUCUUCGCGAAUUUUAGGACUUUCUUAGCAAAGGAUUUUAUUUGGAGAAAUGGAUUGUCUUUGUUUAUCUGCUGAGUUAGAAGUUGUGGCAGGGUCUACUUCAGGAAAUUAAAUUCCCGAAAAUUCAUGAAUUCUGGUCUCUCUUAAAUACCAUCGGAAUGUAAUCGAAUUAGCUCAAAAACAUAAAAAAAAAACAACUAAAAAGGCUCCAGCCCUUGUUAUUUUAGAGAAACAGUUAAAACAUUGCCGACAAAUUUGACAAUUUUCAGGAAUUUAAUUCACCUAAAAUAGUCCAGGCGUUGCGGUCAGAACUGAUUUACCUAGGAGAAAAAAAUGUGGUUGGGGAAACGACUUUGCAAUCUUUGAAUAGUCAAUUUAAAACGGAGAUUUGUCCGGCCAGUUGAAAAAUAAACUUUUAUUUAUAUAAGGAACGUCUUGAUCAUCUGCACACCAUAUCAAGUAUUUACCAAAGUACAGAAAAGCUUACUGGAAUUUAUAUUAAAAUAUGCAUCCGACAGCGUAAUUUAUUUGUGUUAUUUUGCUUGUAUUUAUAUUUGUUUAAAAAAUACAUUUUUUUUCCAUUAGUUUAGUGAAAUUGAAUUUAGAUUUUAAGAGAGAAAGAGAGAGAAUAAUAUUUCAUGCUUUAUAUAACAAGCCGAAAUGAAAUUAUUUGCUAAACAAAAACAUCCAAAUAUAAGAUGAAAAAAUCUGCGCCAAAUUAUAAUUAAAGAAUUUAAAGAAUUAAAAAAAAAGUAUUUUUUGAAGAAAAAAAAAUUGAAAAAACAAUUCAAUUUAAAAUGAAGAAGAAAGGAUUUACAUGACAAAGUUAGCAGUCGAAUUGAGAUUCAAAUCGUCAUAAAAAGAAAAAUAUUGGAAAAGGAGAGAAACGUUUUUUUUAAAUUAAAUUAAAUUAAAAAUCGGUUUAGACUUAAACAAAAAAUUAAAGAGAGAAAUACGAUACAGCCAUUAGGAUAAUAAUUUCUCGACGAUUGCAAUACAGAAAUUCAUUCCACAAUGUGGAAUCCAUACAUGCAAUAUUGGACGUUUACGCAUUGGACAAUAUUACGUAUACAUACGUGUCGUACGGUGGAAUUUAUUUAGAUUUCUUUUGGCUGUAUCCUUUCAACAUUAAAAAAAAUUCUAAUCAAUUACGUCAGUAACAAGUCAAAGAUAUUUAUUUCUAAGUGAAAAACAUUAAAAACCAAUAAAAAUUAUAGAAGAAAAAUAGUGGUCCCAUCAUAAUGAUCGUAUGUGUUUCACAAACUUUCAAGCCAAUUUCGGAAAAUAAUUUUCCAAUUUUCCUAUUUUGUUUUUCCUCAUUUUUUGUUUUGUUUGUUAAAUAAAUUUAAUUU